rfam:Myotis lucifugus cont2.39533, whole genome shotgun sequence.
GGUGGUUCUUGGUUGACACACCCGAGAAUCGGGCUCCCUCCUCUCUGGUGUCAGGUGCGUCACCCAAGAAAAGCA